CGUAAACGAUGUCGACUUGGAGGUUGUUGCCUUGAGGAGUGGCUUCCGGAGCUAACGCGUUAAGUCGCCCGCCUGGGGAGUACGGCCGCAAGGUUAAAACUCAAAUGAAUUGACGGGGGCCCGCACAAGCGGUGGAGCAUGUGGUUUAAUUCGAUGCAACGCGAAGAACCUUACCUACUCUUGACAUCCAGAGAACUUAGCAGAGAUGCUUUGGUGCCUUCGGGAACUCUGAGACAGGUGCUGCAUGGCUGUCGUCAGCUCGUGUUGUGAAAUGUUGGGUUAAGUCCCGCAACGAGCGCAACCCUUAUCCUUUGUUGCCAGCGAUUCGGUCGGGAACUCAAAGGAGACUGCCGGUGAUAAACCGGAGGAAGGUGGGGAUGACGUCAAGUCAUCAUGGCCCUUACGAGUAGGGCUACACACGUGCUACAAUGGCGCAUACAAAGAGAAGCGACCUCGCGAGAGCAAGCGGACCUCAUAAAGUGCGUCGUAGUCCGGAUCGGAGUCUGCAACUCGACUCCGUGAAGUCGGAAUCGCUAGUAAUCGUGGAUCAGAAUGCCACGGUGAAUACGUUCCCGGGCCUUGUACACACCGCCCGUCACACCAUGGGAGUGGGUUGCAAAAGAAGUAGGUAGCUUAACCUUCGGGAGGGCGCUUACCACU
rnacentral:rRNA from 1 species